CGCCGGCGACCGGCGCACGGGUGAGUAACACGUAUGCGACCUGCCCCCCGCAGGGGGAUAACCGGGAGAAAUCCCGACUAAUACCGCGUAACGCCGCGGACCUGCAUGGGUCUGCGGCCAAAGGAAGCGAUUCCGGCGGGGGAUGGGCAUGCGGCGCAUUAGCUAGUCGGCGGGGUAACGGCCCACCGAGGCGACGAUGCGUAGGGGUUCUGAGAGGAAGGUCCCCCACACUGGUACUGAGACACGGACCAGACUCCUACGGGAGGCAGCAG
rnacentral:rRNA from 1 species